rnacentral:rRNA from 1 species
UACGGGGGGGCAAGCGUUGUUCGGAAUUACUGGGCGUAAAGCGUGCGUAGACGGUUAUGUAAGUCGGGUGUGAAAGCCCCGGGCUCAACCUGGGAAUGCCAUUCGAGACUGCAUAGCUAGGGUGCGGAAGAGGGAAGCGGAAUUUCCGGUGUAGCGGUGAAAUGCGUAGAUAUCGGAAGGAACACCAGUGGCGAAAGCGGCUUCCUGGUCCAGCACCGACGUCAGGCACGAAAGCAUGGGGAGCAAACAGG